UUAAUUUACAAUAAUUUUGUAAUGCCUCUAGUUCUAGAAAUACGAACCAAGAUAUUGCAUAUAACUAAAAGUGUCACGUGAUUUGAAUAUUUCAAAACAUUAAAUUCCUGAGACGGCGCCUCUUCAGUUUGCUAUCUGACUUUCUCCCGUCUACAGGACACUAUUCAUAUAUUCGCCUGCAGGACAACAUUCAUAUAUCCGUCUACAGGACAGCAUUCAUAUAUCCGUUUAUACCUGGCACAAUGGCUGGAACAAAUUGGCUGAAAUUAUUUGAGGGAACCCAUGUGUAGUCAGAGGCUUAAAAAAUUAGAUUUUUGUUUUAAUUUUAAUUUCUUUAAAUAUUUUAAAUUCCACUUUUGUAUGAGUCCUACUACAGGUUAUGAAGGUCUACGUUAGUUAAAAUAAAGCCUGUUUUAACAGAGUUCAAGAGAAUUAAUAGAAAAUACUUUACAUUAGGUUUUGCUUUGUUUUAUUUGUAAAACUUAAAAAAAACAAGAAUACAUAAUUUUUAGAUCUUUUCUAUAUUAAAGCUGACGUCACCAGGUUUACUGGGUAAAGCUAACGCUUCAUGGAGGAACGAUUAAUUCGAAGGUUCAGUUGGGUUGAUAGGCUUGUUGUUUGCAAGGAUUGCCGUCACGUGGCUCAGGACUUGGAUCGACAUCGCAGCCAUUUUGUAGAAGCACGACAUGUCAACUGGAUAAGAAACAUGGCAUACAAGUAAGAUUUUUCACCUUUACUUGACCAACAUUAAAGAAGAUAUUCU